rnacentral:rRNA from 1 species
AUGAAUCUUGUUAACCCGUUGAAGCUGAAAACUGUAAAUGCAGAAUCCAUUGUGCGUACACAAGAAAGCCGGUUUUUGGAGUCUGGAGAUGAAUCCUUGAGAGUUAUGGCCAGAAACAGAACGGGCAUGAUAAUCUCUUGCUUGAGUGUGCCACUUCUUCACAUGGGACUGCUCUCUUUUCGAAUACCAACCAUGUGUUACAUGUUAAGUAGCGCAGGGCGUGUGUGUGUCGUACUACUGGUAGUUGUUGCUUCAAGAGAGUAUGAGGUGAGUGAGGAUAUCAGAGUUGAUGUGCUUAUGUUAGUAGUUGAUUUUGUUUCUGUGUUUUCUAAUUUUACAAAGAUUGAACUAAACUUUAUGUAG